GACCGUGCCGCGGGUCGGGCACAGGCUGCUCCCAGCUCUGCCCGCGGAACUUCGGCAAUUGCCGACAGCAGUUCUUUGCCCUGCCAUCCAGAAGGGGCAGCUCAUCUGACACCUGCCAGGCGGGGAAGGUCCUGUCUGGGAGGGAAACGGCUACAGGAGAGGAAACCAAGAAAUGCUCCAACAGGACGCUGCUGCGCGAGUCAAAGGACGGAAGGACCGCAGGGAAAUCGAGUCAGGAAAUCCACUUUUA